GCGCGGGUGGCGGAACUGGUAGACGCGCAAGGUUGAGGGCCUUGUGGCCGCAAGGCUGUGAGGGUUCGAGUCCCUCCUCGCGCACCA
rnacentral:tRNA from 1 species